AGGGAUCAUUACCGAGUUUACAACUCCCAAACCCAAUGUGAACCAUACCAAACUGUUGCCUCGGCGGGGUCACGCCCCGGGUGCGUCGCAGCCCCGGAACCAGGCGCCCGCCGGAGGGACCAACCAAACUCUUCUCUGUAGUCCCCUCGCGGACGUUAUUUCUUACAGCUCUGAGUAAAAAUUCAAAAUGAAUCAAAACUUUCAACAACGGAUCUCUUGGUUCUGGCAUCGACGAAGAACGCAGCGAAAUGCGAUAAGUAAUGUGAAUUGCAGAAUUCAGUGAAUCAUCGAAUCUUUGAACGCACAUUGCGCCCGCCAGUAUUCUGGCGGGCAUGCCUGUCCGAGCGUCAUUUCAACCCUCGAACCCCUCCGGGGGGUCGGCGUUGGGGAUCGGGAACCCCUAAGACGGGAUCCCGGCCCCGAAAUACAGUGGCGGUCUCGCCGCAGCCUCUCCUGCGCAGUAGUUUGCACAACUCGCACCGGGAGCGCGGCGCGUCCACGUCCGUAAAACACCCAACUUCUGAAAUGUUGACCUCGGAUCAGGUAGGAAUACCCGCUGAACUUAA
rnacentral:rRNA from 1 species